UCAAUUAAGCUUUGGAUUAGUUUAAUUAACCACAUCAAGAGCUUAAUUGUAGAAUUGAUAUAUUUUGGGACUUGAUUGAACUUGAAAUUAGUUUAAUUAAUGAAAUCAGGGGCUUAAUUGAAGAAAAUCAAAGUUUAGAGCAAUUAAGGACUUAAUUGCAUAAUUCAAAAAACCAAGAACUGUGUUGUAAAUGGUGCUAAAAUACAGGGGUCCAAUUACAAUUUAUCCAGGGGCUUGAUUACGGAAUUGCGAAACUCCAAUGACCAAAUCGAAAAUAACCAUUUGAAUUGGAAAACGGAGCCGUUUCAGAAAAACUAUUCAUUGCCUUCUUCCUCGGAAACUGUUUCAGCAGUAAAGGCAGUGGAAAUGUUUCAGCAGUAAAAGCACUAAAUUGUUUCAGUUAUGGGCACUUCUCAUGGCUACUAUCCCUCCCCCCACGAUGCAUGCCGUUACCACCGCAUGUCAUUCUCUGGCUUUAAAGCCAGAGAAACGCCACGAACCGGGGCAGUGACAAAAAAAAAAGACAGGAACGAAGAGAAAAAAAAAAGAAACAGAGAACAGAGGGGACGACUGGAGAAGCAAACGAGACAGAAACAGGGGAAGAGAACAAAAAUCCAGCGUACCCCAGCUUCACCUUCGUCUUCAGAACAAACACAGUAGGCAAACGAAAACAGAGAGACUAGAACACAAAAACAAAAGACCAGGGGCAGAGGACGGACGAGCAGAAAAACCAGACGAGAAAACACGAAAAAAAAACCAGUAGAGAGAGAGGAAAACCCAGGAAAUACACACACACAGAGAACAAGAGAACAACACAAGAGGACGAACCAGAAUAGCAGGACUAUUAUUCCCCUGUUUCUUCUCAAAGAAACAGGGGAACGCGUGAGAACCAGAAGACAGGGACGAAAUAUAAGGAACAAACACGGGGGAGGAGGACUAGGGAGCACAGAACAGAGGAAGCCAGAGGAGAAAGCAAAUAGAAAACAGAAAGAAAGAGAAGAGAAUCGUCCAAAGCCAGUGUUAUUCCCAGUCUUUCGCCUCCAGCAACGCCUGCAGAUUAGGUCAGUUGUUCGUCC
rnacentral:lncRNA from 1 species